rnacentral:rRNA from 1 species
GCCUUAGUACGGCGAGUGAAGCGGCAAAAGCUCAAAUUUGAAAUCUGGUACCUUCGGUGCCCGAGUUGUAAUUUGGAGAGGGCAACUUUGGGGCCGUUCCUUGUCUAUGUUCCUUGGAACAGGACGUCAUAGAGGGUGAGAAUCCCGUGUGGCGAGGAGUGCGGUUCUUUGUAAAGUGCCUUCGAAGAGUCGAGUUGUUUGGGAAUGCAGCUCUAAGUGGGUGGUAAAUUCCAUCUAAAGCUAAAUAUUGGCGAGAGACCGAUAGCGAACAAGUACAGUGAUGGAAAGAUGAAAAGAACUUUGAAAAGAGAGUGAAAAAGUACGUGAAAUUGUUGAAAGGGAAGGGCAUUUGAUCAGACAUGGUGUUUUGUGCCCUCUGCUCCUUGUGGGUAGGGGAAUCUCGCAUUUCACUGGGCCAGCAUCAGUUUUGGUGGCAGGAUAAAUCCAUAGGAAUGUAGCUUGCCUCGGUAAGUAUUAUAGCCUGUGGGAAUACUGCCAGCUGGGACUGAGG